AUUGCCUUUCCAUCCCCCUUGCCCCAAGGAUGAAAGCACAGAGAUCAUGUCCAGGUAUCCUGUCUGCAGGGAAGCCAGCAAGCACAGAGGAUAUUUGAAAAGCUACAAAUAAACAGCCAGAAGGAGAGAUACAUAGGGCGAGGUCUAGAAGGGUCCUGAGCACGGGAGCAUCUGUCCAAGUGGAGUUGCACCCUGCAGGAAUUCAGGAAUCCAGCAUUUUGUCCCCACAUGUCAUCUGUCUCAAAAGAAAUCCCUCAGUGGAGGUCACCUAAGGCUUUCUGGCUGUCAGCCUCUCACCAAAUGCUGCCCCCAAAAGGUUCGACUAUUUUUACCGGACACGGGGAGAGAGCGAGCAGAGGACAAACUGCAAGCAAGACAGGGAGCACACAAGGUUUGCUGAUAGAAAAACAGAAAUAAAGUUGACACACUGGUGAGAAUCUGUGGAUGUCUGUCUCCUGCCGGCUGAUUACCAGGAUGUCAGUUUUUACCACCUAUUUUCUCAGACUGCUGCUGAAGAUACAUGCCAUAUCCUAAGAAUGAAAUUCUUGUUGUUUUGAAGAGAGAGGUUUCGAGACCUAACCCUUUCCCCGAAAACAAAAAUCCCUAAAGAUGAAGGGAAGGCAAAAAUACUCCUGUUUCACGUUUUCUAAGGAACUGGCUGAUAGGAUAAACACGGCGUGAUUCUGACUGUAGCAACUUGACUCCCAUUCAGACAGAAGGAAGUGGAUGACCUGCUUGUAGGGACUUUUGGUGAUGAGCCACGGGAGGGUUGGAGGUGGGUGUGAAGUUUGAAACACCCGAAGAGAGAGCAAGGGGCCUCCUCUCCCAUCACCGUCUCGAUGCUCGCGAGCACUUCGGCUGCGCGCAGCACGUUCUUCGCGCCUGCACUCACAGGAAGGGACAGCCUUGCCCAGUAGGUUCAGACGGCAAUUCUAACGUGAGCCCACAAUGAUUAUGUCAUAAACGCAGAACAUACCACGAGAAAUCAAGACUAACACAGAAACAGAAAAUGUGACCUUGUGAAUACAGCUCUGCUCAGCGCUUCACUGCGGACGGUGAAAGUCAACUCCCUCAACCAUUUUCCCGGGUUUUCUACACCUUGCUGCACAGCGUUUGUACUAAAAACCAAUAAUUUGUCAUUGCUUACCAACAGAGCACUGAGUGAUCCUGCAACUCAGAGCAGAUUUAUUGCCCUAUUAAAAUACACAAUGAGUAUAAAAAUGUUCUUAAGAAAAUGUAACAUUUGACCUGAAGUCUAAGCCCUCC